rnacentral:rRNA from 1 species
CCCUUAGACGUUCUGGGCCGCACGCGCGCUACACUGACCAGUGCAACAAGCAUCCGUCCUUGGCCGACAGGCCUGGGCAAUCUUUGAACAUCGAUCGUGAUCGGGAUAGAUUCUUGUAAUUUUUGAUCUUAAACGAGGAAUUCCUAGUAAACGCAAGUCAUCAGCUUGCAUUGAUUACGUCCCUGCCCUUUGUACACACCGCCCGUCGCACCUACCGAUUGAAUGGUCCGGUGAAAUCUCCGGACUGGCGUGAGUCGGAGCAAUCUGACAAACGCCGGAAAGUUGAUUAAACCUUACCAUUUAGAGGAAGGUGAANUCGUANCA